ensembl:lncRNA
AGGUGUGUCAGAGGAGUGUGUGACUCACGAGCUCGUUCUCGAGACGUCUUGGUGUUGAAGACGGAGCAGGGGUUGUGUGUGUUUAGCUGCGGCUCCAGAAACGCCACGGGCAUCGCACCGGCUAGAGUCGCCAAACACUCCCCCAGCGCCGGCAGCUGCCUGAGACACACACACACACACACACACACACACACACACACACACACACACACACACACAGACACAGACACACACACACACACACACACACACACACACACACACACACACACACACACACACACACACACACAGACAACACACACACACAGACACACACACACACACACACACACACAUACACACACACACAGACAGAGACAGACACACACACACACAGACACACACACACAACACACACAGACAACACACACAGACACACACACACACACACACAGACACACACACACACACACACACACAGACACACACACAGACACACACACACACACACACACACACACACAGACAACACACACAGACACACACACACAGACAACACACACACACAGACACACACACACACACACACACAGACACACACACACACACACACAGACAGACACACACACACACACACACACACACACACACAGACACACACAGACACACACACACAGACAGACACACACACACACACACACACACACACACACACACACACAGACACACACACACACACACACACACACACACACACAGACACACACACACACAGACACACACACACACACACACACACACACACAGACAGACACACACACACACAAACACACACACACACACACACAGAAACACACACACACACACACACACACACACACACAGACAGACAGACACACACACACACACACACAGACAGACAGACACACACACACACACAAACACACACACACACGCACACACAGACAGACACACAGACACACACACACACACACACACACACACACACACAGACAGACACACACACACACACACACACACACACACACAGAAACACACACACACACACACACACACACACACACACACACACACACACACACACACACACACAGAAACACACACACACACACACACACACACACACACACACACACACACAGACACACACACACACACACACACACACACACACACACACAGACACACACACACACACACACACACACACACAGACAACACACACAGACACACACACACACACACACAGACACACACACACACACACACACACAGACACACACACAGACACACACACACACACACACACACACACACAGACAACACACACAGACACACACACACAGACAACACACACACACAGACACACACACACACACACACACAGACACACACACACACACACAGACAGACACACACACACACACACACACACACACACAGACACACACAGACACACACACACAGACAGACACACACACACACACACACACACACACACACACACACACACACACAGACACACACACACACACACACACACACACACACACAGACACACACACACACAGACACACACACACACACACACACACACACACACAGACAGACACACACACACACAAACACACACACACACACACACAGAAACACACACACACACACACACACACACAGACAGACAGACACACACACACACACACACAGACAGACAGACACACACACACACACAAACACACACACACACGCACACACAGACAGACACACAGACACACACACACACACACACACACACACACACACAGACAGACACACACACACACACACACACACACACACACAGAAACACACACACACACACACACACACACACACACACACACACACACACACACACACACACACAGAAACACACACACACACACACACACACACACACACACACACACACAGACACACACACACACAGCGUAA